UUGGAGGGCAAGUCUGGUGCCAGCAGCCGCGGUAAUUCCAGCUCCAAUAGCGUAUAUUAAAGUUGUUGCAGUUAAAAAGCUCGUAGUUGAAUUUCGGGGUUCUUCCGUUGGUCAGGCUAACAAGUCUGUACUAGCGUGUAGAAUCUCUACCUUCUGGGGAACCAUCAUGUUAUUAAUUUAGCGUGGUGGGAAACCAGGACCUUUACCUUGAAAAAAUUAGAGUGUUCAAAGCAGGCUUACGUCUGAAUACAUUAGCAUGGAAUAAUAAAAUAGGACGGUGGUCCUGUUUUGUUGGUUUCUGAAUCACCGUAAUGAUUAAUAGGGAUAGUUGGGGGCAUUAGUAUUCAAUUGUCAGAGGUGAAAUUCUUGGAUUUAUUGAAGACUAACUUCUGCGAAAGCAUUUGCCAAGGAUGUUUUCAUUAAUCAAGAACGAAAGUUAGGGGAUCGAAGACGAUCAGAUACCGUCGU
rnacentral:rRNA from 1 species